rnacentral:misc_RNA from 1 species
CCUUGGCCACCAGAAUAUAGGUAUAUUAUUGUUUGCCAAGAUUGGUACUAUACAAUAAAAAGUUCCCUGUUGGAUUCCGUGGUAGCAUGUUACAUUUGAAAAAGAGCCUCAGAGCUCAAAUAAAUCUUGAUAGGCUAAAUUAAGCCUUACCUAUUGAAACGCAUUGCUAUAAGCGAAAGCAAAGAGCACGCCGCACUUUACUAUACUCAAUACUAUACAAUAAAUAAACACACAGUUCGUAAUACCUUCAUAAUACAUAAGCUAUAAUAACUGAACUGAUCUGUUUUGUGUAAUUAUUAUAUAUGUUAGCUUUGACGAGUUUGAAAUGAUAAAGUUUAAUAGACUGCUAUAUAAUAUUCGCCCAAAUCAAUUAAGGACGUAUGCUGGUUAUGGACAAAUACUUGCUGGCAGAAAGAAUAAACGUCGCUCUAUGCUUUCCAAGUUGAUUGAUAAUGAAGAUAAAAAAAUGCCACGUCUUACUACUUGCUGGUGAUUUAUCUCCCCACCUUAAAGACUCUGUAACUAUGAACAGUCUACUUUUUCCAACUAAUUCAACUUGGAUGAAGGUUUAUUUUAAAUAUUCUUUUUAAUCACAAUUUCUUAUAUGUUGUUUUAUUUUAUAACCGUCGUUGAACAGCCGACCACCCCUCCUUAGCCUUAAAAUUUUGAACCCAAAA